rnacentral:lncRNA from 1 species
UUGCUCUGUUCUUUGUCUAGUCUCGGGUUUAUCUGGCAUAAGAACGACAGGAGCUCGAGGUUCCUUGACAAGCUCAGUCUCCCCCCCAAUCAGAAAACCCUUCCGUCCUCGUUCAUCCGAAAGAGGUUGUUCUUCUUGUUCCAUUUCUAAGCCCCGCAAAGCAGUUGAAAAAAUUGAUAAAGAAGAAGCUAAGUUUAAGAUAAAAAGAAAAAUUGAUUACAGGUGUUUCACUGUCUAAACCAAAGUCAAGUUAAACCACUCCAAAGAUCAAAGUGUUCUUUUCUUUUUACUUUCCCAAUAAUUCUACAACUGGUCAUAUCAGUAAUUUAAUAACCAGUAUGUUUCUUUUUGCUUAGAAGAAUCAAAGUACAUGAGUUGGAAAAGAAAUGGUAUGAAAUUAGAGCUAAAAUUAAUCAAACUUAAUUACCUGAACAGCAGAUGCAGCAAGAUGUUAUCCAAUUAUUUGAUUAAAUCAGAAGAAAGAAGAUGGACGGGGAAGAGUAAGUGUGUUGGAGACGCGUGAUAGAGCUUCGGCUUGUGUGGCUGUGGAUAAGGAUAGAUUCAGACAGUCAGAGAAGCAGAUGACAGUGAAAAAAAGUAAAAUGGAUUUCUGUCGUUCAUGGAUGUCAUAUGGACAUGUUGUUCUUCCAGGAAGCGGAUCCGGCGAGGGGUGCUCUUGACGUAGCGGAAGCUUAUUAAAUAAAAAGGAGCACCGUCCCUUUGUAGGAAAUUGCUCGAAUCCACGAGCAGGAAAUAGUUUUCUCGAAUCCACGAGUAAGAGAUUGUAGUUCUGAAUGAAAUUCUUAUUUCAAUGAAAAUUUGAAGUGCCAGUAACGAGGAUUGGUAGCUUGUAUUUAUAGCUGCCAAUCCUAAUUCUAAUCAGAACAUACUUGCGGAGAUAAUUAAUAAAACAUAUAAUAUUCCUACUUAAAAACAUAAACUAGAGUUCUAACUUGGAAACAAUAAUAUCAGUAGCAGUGUGCAAUAAGGAAAAACGCAGCAGUGGCAGAGUGUGCUUCUAACUCUGAAGCUUGAAUCGUGAUGUGUUUAUCCUUGUUGGCCUAGGAUUUGAUUUGGUCUAGACUUCCUUCAUUAUACGGUCCUACAUCAGUCUCCCCUUCUUGAACAAAACGCGUCCUCGCGUUGAUUAGGUGAGAAGAACAUUCAUCAGGGGGAUGAUAUUCAAACAAGGCAGCAACGUUGAAGGUGGGAGAAAUGGUCAUUUCUGCAGGGAGGUCCACAACAUAUGCGUUGUCAUUAAUCUGCUGUAGGAUUUGAAAAGGACCAUGCUUUUUAUGGUUCAGCUUGUUAUACGUUCCUGCUGGUAGUCGCCCCUUUCGUAGAUAUAUCAUCACAAGAUCACCAACCUGAAAGACUUUGGCUCGUCGUUUGCGAUCUGCGGCUGUUUUGUAUCUGACAUUAGCUUCCUCUAGAUUCGCACGUACUUCUUCCUGAAUUGUUUUAAUCCGGUCAGCCAUAUGCUCUGCUGCGAUGCUCAUUCCUGGAAUCUUAGGCAGUGGUGCUAGGUCCAGUGCAUGAUGUGGUGGCUGACAGUAGACAAUUUGGAAUGGAGUUUUCCCCGUGGACCUGUUAAGCAUGCUGUUAUAGGCAAAUUUCAGCUGUGCCAGUGUAAGAUCCCAUUGUUUUGGUCUCUCUCCUGAUAGGCAGCGAAUCAAGUUUCCAAGAGUGCGGUUGACCACUUCUGUUUGCCCAUCGGUUUGAGGGUGGCUAGUGCUGCUGAAUUGCAAUGACGUAUCAAAUCGUCUCCAUAAUGUCCGCCAAAAAUGGCUUUAAAAAUUUCGUGUCUCGAUCCGAAGUGAUGGAUUUAGGAACCCCAUGUAGACGAACCACUUCUUUAAAGAACAAGAUUUGCGAUGUGCACGGCAUCUGAUGUCUUUUUGCAUGCAGAUGAAGUAUGCCAUUUUAGAGUACCUGUCCACUACGACAAAAACAGAAUCAAAUCCACGCUGAGUUCGUGGAAGUCCCAGAAUGAAAUCCAUAGAUAAGUCUUCCCAAGGGGCUGCUGGGAUGGGUAACGGCAUGUAGAGGCCUGUGUUCUGCGUGUGUCCUUUGGCUGCUUGGCACGUGGGGCAACGUUUGACAUGGUUACCAAUAUCCCGUUUCAGCUGGGGCCAAUAAUACCUCUCUUCUGCCAUGGCCACUGUCUUGUCCCGACCAAGAUGGCCUCCCAAACCGCCACCAUGUAGCUCUCGGGUUAUCUGUUCCCGUAAGGAGCUCCUGGGGAUACAUAACUGAUUGCCCCGAAAUAAAUAUCCUUCUUGAAUAUGCAUGCCAUCCUGUGAGAGUCCCUGGAUGCAUUUGGUCCAGAUAUGGCCAAAGUCGUCAUCCUCUGCAUACAAAUCCUUGAGGCAGUCGAAACCCAUGACUUCAGUCCGUAUGGUGACAAGCAAUAACGCCCUUCGACUUAGAGCGUCCGCAACUUUAUUUAACUGUCCAGCUUUAUGUUUCAGGGAGAAGGUGAACCUUUGGAUGAAGGAUAUCCAACGUGCAUGCAUUCGGUUCACACUGUUCUGGUUAUUGAUAAAUUGUAAGGCGUGGUGAUCACUGAAGAGGAUAAACUCCCUUUGCACUAAGUAGUGCUCCCAAACCUUUAAAGCACGAAACACAGCAUAAAGUUCAAGUUCGUAGGUGGACCAUUUCUUGCGAGAUUCACUUAGUUUCUCGCUGUAGAAAGCAACAGGCCGUCCUUCCUGAGAUAAUACAGCACCAACACCGACGAUUGAUGCAUCACACUCCACUUCAAAUAAUUUUUCAAAAUCUGGCAAUGCGAGAACUGGAGCGGAAGACAACCUUUCUUUAAUUAGUAUAAAGCUUUGUUCUGCUUCAGUUCCCCAAUAGAAUUUCCCUUUCUUCAUGCAUUCAGUGAUCGGCGCGACGAUUCGACUAAAAUUUCUGACAAACCGUCGAUAGAAUGUUGCUAAGCCAUGGAAGCUACGCACCUCACUGACAUUCUUUGGAGUAGGCCAUUCUCGGAUGGCUUUUAUUUUGCUUUCGUCGACUUUAAUCCCGUCAGCACUCACAACAAAUCCCAAAAAUAGCAAACUACUGGUCAUGAAGUCGCACUUUGUCAAAUUAACAUACAACUUGUUCUGUUGUAAUACUGUUAGCACUUCCCUCAAGUGCUCAAAAUGAUCAGACUUGCUUUGGCUAUAAAUUAAUAUAUCGUCGAAGUACACUACAACAAAGCGGCCGGUGAAGGGUUUAAGUACCUGAUUCAUUAGCGCAUGAAGGUACUCGGUGCGUUGGACAGUCCAAAGGGCAUUACUAGCCAUUCAUAUAAGCCCUCUCUCGUCUUGAAAGCAGUUUUCCAUUCAUCCCCGGGUCUAAUUCGAAUAUGAUGAUACCCACUCCGUAAAUCAAUUUUUGAAAAAUUUUCGAUCCUGACAGCAUGUCUAGCAUAUCCUCUAGGCGAGGGAUUGGAAACCGAUACUUAAUUGUGAUUUUUUUAGCUCGGCUGUCUAUGCACAUGCGCCAACUACCAUCUUUUUUAAGGCUGGUACCGCGCAAGGACUCAUGCUUUCCUGAACUAGUCCCUUUCUGAUAAGUUCUUCUACCUGCUCUUGUAGGAUUUGACUCUCUUUCGGACUCAUCCGAUAAUGGGGUCGAUUUGGCAGACUAGCUCCUGGAGUUAAAUCAAUUUGGUGUUGAAUAUCUCGCAUGGGGGUAUCCCAUCUGGUAGUUCUGAUGGUAUGAUUUCCUGAAACUCUGCUAGUAAAGGUUUUAGCUCCUGUGGAAUGUUGUGACUUUCGGUACCGAUUCCUCCCCCAAUUACUACUGCAAACAGCUCUCCUUGUUUUCUUGGCUUCCUCUAUAAAGUUUUCCCCAUCAACUAGGAGGACUGACUUCCCUUUAGCUUUUGGUUUGACUAAAGAAAAUUCUUCCUUUAUUGGACCCAACACAACUUUCUGCCCUUUAUUCAUGAAGAUAUACACGUUAUCGCGCCCCUUGUAUAUAGCAUCUACAUCAAACUGCCACGGUCUGCCUAGAAUUAUAUGACAGGCGUCCAUCUCAACUACGUCACAAGUAAUGUUGUCUAGGUAAUUUUGCCCAAUAGAAAAUUGAAUAUGGCAAAUUUCUGUGACCUUUGCUUCUGCACCCUGUCUGAUCCAGCCGAUCUUAUAUGGUGAUGGAUGCUUCUCCGUCGUUAACCCCAGCUUUGUUAUCAUGCUCCUUGAGAUUAUAUUUUCGCUGCUGCCGCUAUCUAUAAUGACAUCACAUACUUUUUUGUUCACGGUGCACCUGGUUCGAAAUAUGUUGUGUCGCUGUGAUUGUCCACCUGUUUUGGUGCAAGUAGCAAUUUUCGAACCACUAGGGAACGUGAUAAUAAUUCUCCCUCAUCUCCCCCUGUGACUUCGUCCUCUUCAUAGGUGUAUGCUAAUUCAUCUCCUCCUCCUUCUGCUGUCAACUCUGGUUCUAUUAAGUGCACUGUGCUCCGUUUGGGACAUUGAUUGGAGCGAUGUCCUGGCUGCCCACAUCUAUAGCAUUUAUCUGUCGAUGGGCGAGCAUAUGGGUUUCUAGGUGCUUCUAUCAUUCCUCCAGUCUUUGAGGGUGCCCAUUACUGUGUGGUCCUUUGGAAGUAUUGGUCAGUGGUGGUUGAAAAGCUGGGAGCUUUCCUUUGUCUACUGCAACCCGAUUAAGAUCAAAAGAGUUUCUCGUUCCAGCUAUCGACUUUGCCCUUUCCAGUUGUGCUUCUGCCUUUGUAGCCAGGUUGAUGGCUUCAGUUACAGAAUAUAUAGUUUGCAUGGAGACCCGAUCUUGUAUCGCCAAACGUAGACCACUCACAAACCUGCUGACUUGUUGUGCGUCAGUUUCUGAUAGAUUAUUACGUGAUGAUAAUCUAUGGAAUUCUUCAACAUAUGUUUGCACUGUUCUGCUUCCUUGUCUGCAAUCCUGAUAUUGUUGGAACAGGAUUUGUUCAUAAUCUGGUGGUAAAUACCUUGCUCGUAGAAGCCGUCUCAUCUUUGCCCAUGUUUGUACCAUUCCUUUUCUUUGUCGCGCCCGUGUGAGUUGCAGUUGCUCCCACCAAGCAGAGGCCCCUCCCAUCAAUCUGUAAGCAACCAAUUUUACCUUCUUAUCUUCAGGGAUUUCCAUGUAGUCGAAAAAUCUUUCAACCACGGCCAGCCAAUCAAGAAACCCCUCUAUUUGCAACUGACCAUUGAAACUGGGUAAAUCCAUUUUCAUACGGAAGGUUUGUGGUUCUCUUCCUCCCAUAUUGCGUUGUCCCUGGCGAUUGUGUCGAAACAUGUGUUCGACAUAUUCCUCAUCAUCACUCAGUUCUUCCUCGUAAGCUAACUGCCUACGUGGAGGUGGAUGGCGUUCACGAGCAGGAGCAAUCCUUUCUCUGUAAUUUUCGCCUUCAUGCUGCAGGUUAUUUCCUGUUGUUAGCCUAGCAAGGGUUGCUUGUAUGGCUUGUAACGCCUGCUGGGUCUCACGCGGGAAGUUCCUGAAUUCUGUUUGUGUGAUCAUGCUCUCUUCAUGUUUGCCGUCAUCAAAGUUUUCGUUUUCACUCCGUGUGUUUGCCAUCUGAACAAGUUAACACCUGCUCUGAUACCAACUGAAGUAGCGGAAGCUUAUUAAAUAAAAAGGAGCACCGUCCCUUUGUAGGAAAUUGCUCGAAUCCACGAGCAGGAAAUAGUUUUCUCGAAUCCACGAGUAAGAGAUUGUAGUUCUGAAUGAAAUUCUUAUUUCAAUGAAAAUUUGAAGUGCCAGUAACGAGGAUUGGUAGCUUGUAUUUAUAGCUGCCAAUCCUAAUUCUAAUCAGAACAUACUUGCAGAGAUAAUUAAUAAAACAUAUAAUAUUCCUACUUAAAAACAUAAACUAGAGUUCUAACUUGGAAACAAUAAUAUCAGUAGCAGAGGGGCUCUUAAAUAAUGGAAUCCGUGUGCAAUAAGGAAAAACGCAGCAGUGGCAGAGUGUGCUUCUAACUCUGAAGCUUGAAUCGUGAUGUGUUUAUCCUUGUUGGCCUAGGAUUUGAUUUGGUCUAGACUUCCUUCAUUAUACGGUCCUACAUCAGUCUCCCCUUCUUGAACAAAACGCGUCCUCGCGUUGAUUAGGUGAGAAGAACAUUCAUCAGGGGAUGAUAUUCAAACAAGGCAGCAACGUUGAAGGGGAGAAAUGGUCAUUUCUGCAGGGAGGUCCACAACAUAUGCGUUGUCAUUAAUCUGCUGUAGGAUUUGAAAAGGACCAUGCUUUUUAUGGUUCAGCUUGUUAUACGUUCCUGCUGGUAGUCGCCCCUUUCGUAGAUAUAUCAUCACAAGAUCACCAACCUGAAAGACUUUGGCUCGUCGUUGCGAUCUGCGGCUGUUUUGUAUCUGACAUUAGCUUCCUCUAGAUUCGCACGUACUUCUUCCUGAAUUGUUUUAAUCCGGUCAGCCAUAUGCUCUGCUGCGAUGCUCAUUCCUGGAAUCUUAGGCAGUGGUGCUAGGUCCAGUGCAUGAUGUGGUGGCUGACAGUAGACAAUUUGGAAUGGAGUUUUCCCCGUGGACCUGUUAAGCAUGCUGUUAUAGGCAAAUUCAGCCUGUGCCAGUGUAAGAUCCCAUUGUUUUGGUCUCUCUCCUGAUAGGCAGCGAAUCAAGUUUCCAAGAGUGCGGUUGACCACUUCUGUUUGCCCAUCGGUUUGAGGGUGGCUAGUGCUGCUGAAUUGCAAUGACGUAUCAAAUCGUCUCCAUAAUGUCCGCCAAAAAUGGCUUAAAAAUUUCGUGUCUCGAUCCGAAGUGAUGGAUUUAGGAACCCCAUGUAGACGAACCACUUCUUUAAAGAACAAAUUUGCGAUGUGCACGGCAUCUGAUGUCUUUUUGCAUGCGAUGAAGUAUGCCAUUUUAGAGUACCUGUCCACUACGACAAAAACAGAAUCAAAUCCACGCUGAGUUCGUGGAAGUCCCAGAAUGAAAUCCAUAGAUAAGUCUUCCCAAGGGGCUGCUGGGAUGGGUAACGGCAUGUAGAGGCCUGUGUUCUGCGUGUGUCCUUUGGCUGCUUGGCACGUGGGGCAACAUUUGACAUGGUUACCAAUAUCCCGUUUCAGCUGGGGCCAAUAAUACCUCUCUUCUGCCAUGGCCACUGUCUUGUCCCGACCAAGAUGGCCUCCCAAACCGCCACCAUGUAGCUCUCGGGUUAUCUGUUCCCGUAAGGAGCUCCUGGGGAUACAUAACUGAUUGCCCCGAAAUAAAUAUCCUUCUUGAAUAUGCAUGCCAUCCUGUGAGAGUCCCUGGAUGCAUUUGGUCCAGAUAUGGCCAAAGUCGUCAUCCUCUGCAUACAAAUCCUUGAGGCAGUCGAAACCCAUGACUUCAGUCCGUAUGGUGACAAGCAAUAACGCCCUUCGACUUAGAGCGUCCGCAACUUUAUUUAACUGUCCAGCUUUAUGUUUCAGGGAGAAGGUGAACCUUUGGAUGAAGGAUAUCCAACGUGCAUGCAUUCGGUUCACACUGUUCUGGUUAUUGAUAAAUUGUAAGGCGUGGUGAUCACUGAAGAGGAUAAACUCCCUUUGCACUAAGUAGUGCUCCCAAACCUUUAAAGCACGAAACACAGCAUAAAGUUCAAGUUCGUAGGUGGACCAUUUCUUGCGAGAUUCACUUAGUUUCUCGCUGUAGAAAGCAACAGGCCGUCCUUCCUGAGAUAAUACAGCACCAACACCGACGAUUGAUGCAUCACACUCCACUUCAAAUAAUUUUUCAAAAUCUGGCAAUGCGAGAACUGGAGCGGAAGACAACCUUUCAAUUAGUAUAAAGCUUUGUUCUGCUUCAGUUCCCCAAUAGAAUUUCCCUUUCUUCAUGCAUUCAGUGAUCGGCGCGACGAUUCGACUAAAAUUUCUGACAAACCGUCGAUAGAAUGUUGCUAAGCCAUGGAAGCUACGCACCUCACUGACAUUCUUUGGAGUAGGCCAUUCUCGGAUGGCUUUUAUUUUGCUUUCGUCGACUUUAAUCCCGUCAGCACUCACAACAAAUCCCAAAAAUAGCAAACUACUGGUCAUGAAGUCGCACUUUGUCAAAUUAACAUACAACUUGUUCUGUUGUAAUACUGUUAGCACUUCCCUCAAGUGCUCAAAAUGAUCAGACUUGCUUUGGCUAUAAAUUAAUAUAUCGUCGAAGUACACUACAACAAAGCGGCCGGUGAAGGGUUUAAGUACCUGAUUCAUUAGACGCAUGAAGGUACUCGGUGCGUUGGACAGUCCAAAGGGCAUUACUAGCCAUUCAUAUAAGCCCUCUCUCGUCUUGAAAGCAGUUUUCCAUUCAUCCCCGGGUCUAAUUCGAAUAUGAUGAUACCCACUCCGUAAAUCAAUUUUUGAAAAAUUUUUCGAUCCUGACAGCAUGUCUAGCAUAUCCUCUAGGCGAGGGAUUGGAAACCGAUACUUAAUUGUGAUUUUGUUAAUAGCUCGGCUGUCUAUGCACAUGCGCCAACUACCAUCUUUCUUUGGUACUAGCAAGGCUGGUACCGCGCAAGGACUCAUGCUUUCCUGAACUAGUCCCUUUCUGAUAAGUUCUUCUACCUGCUCUUGUAGGAUUUGACUCUCUUUCGGACUCAUCCGAUAAUGGGGUCGAUUUGGCAGACUAGCUCCUGGAGUUAAAUCAAUUUGGUGUUGAAUAUCUCGCAUGGGGGGUAUCCCAUCUGGUAGUUCUGAUGGUAUGAUUUCCUGAAACUCUGCUAGUAAAGGUUUUAGCUCCUGUGGAAUGUUGUGACUUUCGGUACCGAUUCCUCCCCCAAUUACUACUGCAAACAGCUCUCUUGUUUUCUUGGCUUCCUCUAUAAAGUUUUCCCCAUCAACUAGGAGGACUGACUUCCCUUUAGCUUUUGGUUUGACUAAAGAAAAUUCUUCCUUUAUUGGACCCAACACAACUUUCUGCCCUUUAUUCAUGAAGAUAUACACGUUAUCGCGCCCCUUGUAUAUAGCAUCUACAUCAAACUGCCACGGUCUGCCUAGAAUUAUAUGACAGGCGUCCAUCUCAACUACGUCACAAGUAAUGUUGUCUAGGUAAUUUUGCCCAAUAGAAAAUUGAAUAUGGCAAAUUUCUGUGACCUUUGCUUCUGCACCCUGUCUGAUCCAGCCGAUCUUAUAUGGUGAUGGAUGCUUCUCCGUCGUUAACCCCAGCUUUGUUAUCAUGCUCCUUGAGAUUAUAUUUUCGCUGCUGCCGCUAUCUAUAAUGACAUCACAUACUUUUUUGUUCACGGUGCACCUGGUUCGAAAUAUGUUGUGUCGCUGUGAUUGUUCCACCUGUUUUGGUGCAAGUAGCAAUUUUCGAACCACUAGGGAACGUGAUAAUAAUUCUCCCUCAUCUCCCCCUGUGACUUCGUCCUCUUCAUAGGUGUAUGCUAAUUCAUCUCCUCCUCCUUCUGCUGUCAACUCUGGUUCUAUUAAGUGCACUGUGCUCCGUUUGGGACAUUGAUUGGAGCGAUGUCCUGGCUGCCCACAUCUAUAGCAUUUAUCUGUCGAUGGGCGAGCAUAUGGGUUUCUAGGUGCUUCUAUCAUUCCUCCAGUCUUUGAGGGUGCCCCAUUACUGUGUGGUCCUUUGGAAGUAUUGGUCAGUGGUGGUUGAAAAGCUGGGAGCUUUCCUUUGUCUACUGCAACCCGAUUAAGAUCAAAAGAGUUUCUCGUUCCAGCUAUCGACUUUGCCCUUUCCAGUUGUGCUUCUGCCUUUGUAGCCAGGUUGAUGGCUUCAGUUACAGAAUAUAUAGUUUGCAUGGAGACCCGAUCUUGUAUCGCCAAACGUAGACCACUCACAAACCUGCUGACUUGUUGUGCGUCAGUUUCUGAUAGAUUAUUACGUGAUGAUAAUCUAUGGAAUUCUUCAACAUAUGUUUGCACUGUUCUGCUUCCUUGUCUGCAAUCCUGAUAUUGUUGGAACAGGAUUUGUUCAUAAUCUGGUGGUAAAUACCUUGCUCGUAGAAGCCGUCUCAUCUUUGCCCAUGUUUGUACCAUUCCUUUUCUUUGUCGCGCCCGUGUGAGUUGCAGUUGCUCCCACCAAGCAGAGGCCCCUCCCAUCAAUCUGUAAGCAACCAAUUUUACCUUCUUAUCUUCAGGGAUUUCCAUGUAGUCGAAAAAUCUUUCAACCACGGCCAGCCAAUCAAGAAACCCCUCUAUUUGCAACUGACCAUUGAAACUGGGUAAAUCCAUUUUCAUACGGAAGGUUUGUGGUUCUCUUCCUCCCAUAUUGCGUUGUCCCUGGCGAUUGUGUCGAAACAUGUGUUCGACAUAUUCCCUCAUCAUCACUCAGUUCUUCCUCGUAAGCUAACUGCCUACGUGGAGGUGGAUGGCGUUCACGAGCAGGAGCAAUCCUUUCUCUGUAAUUUUCGCCUUCAUGCUGCAGGUUAUUUCCUGUUGUUAGCCUAGCAAGGGUUGCUUGUAUGGCUUGUAACGCCUGCUGGGUCUCACGCGGGAAGUUCCUGAAUUCUGUUUGUGUGAUCAUGCUCUCUUCAUGUUUGCCGUCAUCAAAGUUUUCGUUUUCACUCCGUGUGUUUGCCAUCUGAACAAGUUAACACCUGCUCUGAUACCAACUGAAGUAGCGGAAGCUUAUUAAAUAAAAAGGAGCACCGUCCCUUUGUAGGAAAUUGCUCGAAUCCACGAGCAGGAAAUAGUUUUCUCGAAUCCACGAGUAAGAGAUUGUAGUUCUGAAUGAAAUUCUUAUUUCAAUGAAAAUUUGAAGUGCCAGUAACGAGGAUUGGUAGCUUGUAUUUAUAGCUGCCAAUCCUAAUUCUAAUCAGAACAUACUUGCAGAGAUAAUUAAUAAAACAUAUAAUAUUCCUACUUAAAAACAUAAACUAGAGUUCUAACUUGGAAACAAUAAUAUCAGUAGCAGAGGGGCUCUUAAAUAAUGGAAUCCGUGUGCAAUAAGGAAAAACGCAGCAGUGGCAGAGUGUGCUUCUAACUCUGAAGCUUGAAUCGUGAUGUGUUUAUCCUUGUUGGCCUAGGAUUUGAUUUGGUCUAGACUUCCUUCAUUAUACGGUCCUACAUCAGUCUCCCCUUCUUGAACAAAACGCGUCCUCGCGUUGAUUAGGUGAGAAGAACAUUCAUCAGGGGGAUGAUAUUCAAACAAGUCAGCAACGUUGAAGGUGGGAGAAAUGGUCAUUUCUGCAGGGAGGUCCACAACAUAUGCGUUGUCAUUAAUCUUCUGUAGGAUUUGAAAAGGACCAUGCUUUUUAUGGUUCAGCUUGUUAUACGUUCCUGCUGGUAGUCGCCCCUUUCGUAGAUAUAUCAUCACAAGAUCACCAACCUGAAAGACUUUGGCUCGUCGUUUGCGAUCUGCGGCUGUUUUGUAUCUGACAUUAGCUUCCUCUAGAUUCGCACGUACUUCUUCCUGAAUUGUUUUAAUCCGGUCAGCCAUAUGCUCUGCUGCGAUGCUCAUUCCUGGAAUCUUAGGCAGUGGUGCUAGGUCCAGUGCAUGAUGUGGUGGCUGACAGUAGACAAUUUGGAAUGGAGUUUUCCCCGUGGACCUGUUAAGCAUGCUGUUAUAGGCAAAUUCAGCCUGUGCCAGUGUAAGAUCCCAUUGUUUUGGUCUCUCUCCUGAUAGGCAGCGAAUCAAGUUUCCAAGAGUGCGGUUGACCACUUCUGUUUGCCCAUCGGUUUGAGGGUGGCUAGUGCUGCUGAAUUGCAAUGACGUAUCAAAUCGUCUCCAUAAUGUCCGCCAAAAUGGCUUAAAAAUUUCGUGUCUCGAUCCGAAGUGAUGGAUUUAGGAACCCCAUGUAGACGAACCACUUCUUUAAAGAACAGAUUUGCGAUGUGCACGGCAUCUGAUGUCUUUUUGCAUGCGAUGAAGUGUGCCAUUUUAGAGUACCUGUCCACUACGACAAAAACAGAAUCAAAUCCACGCUGAGUUCGUGGAAGUCCCAGAAUGAAAUCCAUAGAUAAGUCUUCCCAAGGGGCUGCUGGGAUGGGUAACGGCAUGUAGAGGCCUGUGUUCUGCGUGUGUCCUUUGGCUGCUUGGCACGUGGGGCAACGUUUGACAUGGUUACCAAUAUCCCGUUUCAGCUGGGGCCAAUAAUACCUCUCUUCUGCCAUGGCCACUGUCUUGUCCCGACCAAGAUGGCCUCCCAAACCGCCACCAUGUAGCUCUCGGGUUAUCUGUUCCCGUAAGGAGCUCCUGGGGAUACAUAACUGAUUGCCCCGAAAUAAAUAUCCUUCUUGAAUAUGCAUGCCAUCCUGUGAGAGUCCCUGGAUGCAUUUGGUCCAGAUAUGGCCAAAGUCGUCAUCCUCUGCAUACAAAUCCUUGAGGCAGUCGAAACCCAUGACUUCAGUCCGUAUGGUGACAAGCAAUAACGCCCUUCGACUUAGAGCGUCCGCAACUUUAUUUAACUGUCCAGCUUUAUGUUUCAGGGAGAAGGUGAACCUUUGGAUGAAGGAUAUCCAACGUGCAUGCAUUCGGUUCACACUGUUCUGGUUAUUGAUAAAUUGUAAGGCGUGGUGAUCACUGAAGAGGAUAAACUCCCUUUGCACUAAGUAGUGCUCCCAAACCUUUAAAGCACGAAACACAGCAUAAAGUUCAAGUUCGUAGGUGGACCAUUUCUUGCGAGAUUCACUUAGUUUCUCGCUGUAGAAAGCAACAGGCCGUCCUUCCUGAGAUAAUACAGCACCAACACCGACGAUUGAUGCAUCACACUCCACUUCAAAUAAUUUUUCAAAAUCUGGCAAUGCGAGAACUGGAGCGGAAGACAACCUUUCUUUAAUUAGUAUAAAGCUUUGUUCUGCUUCAGUUCCCCAAUAGAAUUUCCCUUUCUUCAUGCAUUCAGUGAUCGGCGCGACGACGACUAAAAUUUCUGACAAACCGUCGAUAGAAUGUUGCUAAGCCAUGGAAGCUACGCACCUCACUGACAUUCUUUGGAGUAGGCCAUUCUCGGAUGGCUUUUAUUUUGCUUUCGUCGACUUUAAUCCCGUCAGCACUCACAACAAAUCCCAAAAAUAGCAAACUACUGGUCAUGAAGUCGCACUUUGUCAAAUUAACAUACAACUUGUUCUGUUGUAAUACUGUUAGCACUUCCCUCAAGUGCUCAAAAUGAUCAGACUUGCUUUGGCUAUAAAUUAAUAUAUCGUCGAAGUACACUACAACAAAGCGGCCGGUGAAGGGUUUAAGUACCUGAUUCAUUAGGCGCAUGAAGGUACUCGGUGCGUUGGACAGUCCAAAGGGCAUUACUAGCCAUUCAUAUAAGCCCUCUCUCGUCUUGAAAGCAGUUUUCCAUUCAUCCCCGGGUCUAAUUCGAAUCUGAUGAUACCCACUCCGUAAAUCAAUUUUUGAAAAAAUUUUCGAUCCUGACAGCAUGUCUAGCAUAUCCUCUAGGCGAGGGAUUGGAAACCGAUACUUAAUUGUGAUUUUGUUAAUAGCUCGGCUGUCUAUGCACAUGCGCCAACUACCAUCUUUCUUUGGUACUAGCAAGGCUGGUACCGCGCAAGGACUCAUGCUUUCCUGAACUAGUCCCUUUCUGAUAAGUUCUUCUACCUGCUCUUGUAGGAUUUGACUCUCUUUCGGACUCAUCCGAUAAUGGGGUCGAUUUGGCAGACUAGCUCCUGGAGUUAAAUCAAUUUGGUGUUGAAUAUCUCGCAUGGGGGGUAUCCCAUCUGGUAGUUCUGAUGGUAUGAUUUCCUGAAACUCUGCUAGUAAAGGUUUUAGCUCCUGUGGAAUGUUGUGACUUUCGGUACCGAUUCCUCCCCCAAUUACUACUGCAAACAGCUCUCCUGUUUUCUUGGCUUCCUCUAUAAAGUUUUCCCCAUCAACUAGGAGGACUGACUUCCCUUUAGCUUUUGGUUUGACUAAAGAAAAUUCUUCCUUUAUUGGACCCAACACAACUUUCUGCCCUUUAUUCAUGAAGAUAUACACGUUAUCGCGCCCCUUGUAUAUAGCAUCUACAUCAAACUGCCACGGUCUGCCUAGAAUUAUAUGACAGGCGUCCAUCUCAACUACGUCACAAGUAAUGUUGUCUAGGUAAUUUUGCCCAAUAGAAAAUUGAAUAUGGCAAAUUUCUGUGACCUUUGCUUCUGCACCCUGUCUGAUCCAGCCGAUCUUAUAUGGUGAUGGAUGCUUCUCCGUCUUUAACCCCAGCUUUGUUAUCAUGCUCCUUGAGAUUAUAUUUUCGCUGCUGCCGCUAUCUAUAAUGACAUCACAUACUUUUUUGUUCACGGUGCACCUGGUUCGAAAUAUGUUGUGUCGCUGUGAUUGUUCCACCUGUUUUGGUGCAAGUAGCAGUUUUCGAACCACUAGGGAACGUGAUAAUAAUUCUCCCUCAUCUCCCCCUGUGACUUCGUCCUCUUCAUAGGUGUAUGCUAAUUCAUCUCCUCCUCCUUCUGCUGUCAACUCUGGUUCUAUUAAGUGCACUGUGCUCCGUUUGGGACAUUGAUUGGAGCGAUGUCCUGGCUGCCCACAUCUAUAGCAUUUAUCUGUCGAUGGGCGAGCAUAUGGGUUUCUAGGUGCUUCUAUCAUUCCUCCAGUCUUUGAGGGUGCCCCAUUACUGUGUGGUCCUUUGGAAGUAUUGGUGAGUGGUGGUUGAAAAGCUGGGAGCUUUCCUUUGUCUACUGCAACCCGAUUAAGAUCAAAAGAGUUUCUCGUUCCAGCUAUCGACUUUGCCCUUUCCAGUUGUGCUUCUGCCUUUGUAGCCAGGUUGAUGGCUUCAGUUACAGAAUAUAUAGUUUGCAUGGAGACCCGAUCUUGUAUCGCCAAACGUAGACCACUCACAAACCUGCUGACUUGUUGUGCGUCAGUUUCUGAUAGAUUAUUACGUGAUGAUAAUCUAUGGAAUUCUUCAACAUAUGUUUGCACUGUUCUGCUUCCUUGUCUGCAAUCCUGAUAUUGUUGGAACAGGAUUUGUUCAUAAUCUGGUGGUAAAUACCUUGCUCGUAGAAGCCGUCUCAUCUUUGCCCAUGUUUGUACCAUUCCUUUUCUUUGUCGCGCCCGUGUGAGUUGCAGUUGCUCCCACCAAGCAGAGGCCCCUCCCAUCAAUCUGUAAGCAACCAAUUUUACCUUCUUAUCUUCAGGGAUUUCCAUGUAGUCGAAAAAUCUUUCAACCACGGCCAGCCAAUCAAGAAACCCCUCUAUUUGCAACUGACCAUUGAAACUGGGUAAAUCCAUUUUCAUACGGAAGGUUUGUGGUUCUCUUCCUCCCAUAUUGCGUUGUCCCUGGCGAUUGUGUCGAAACAUGUGUUCGACAUAUUCCUCAUCAUCACUCAGUUCUUCCUCGUAAGCUAACUGCCUACGUGGAGGUGGAUGGCGUUCACGAGCAGGAGCAAUCCUUUCUCUGCAAUUUUCGCCUUCAUGCUGCAGGUUAUUUCCUGUUGUUAGCCUAGCAAGGGUUGCUUGUAUGGCUUGUAACGCCUGCUGGGUCUCACGCUGGAAGUUCCUGAAUUCUGUUUGUGUGAUCAUGCUCUCUUCAUGUUUGCCGUCAUCAAAGUUUUCGUUUUCACUCCGUGUGUUUGCCAUCUGAACAAGUUAACACCUGCUCUGAUACCAACUGACGUAGCGGAAGCUUAUUAAAUAAAAAGGAGCACCGUCCCUUUGUAGGAAAUUGCUCGAAUCCACGAGCAGGAAAUAGUUUUCUCGAAUCCACGAGUAAGAGAUUGUAGUUCUGAAUGAAAUUCUUAUUUCAAUGAAAAUUUGAAGUGCCAGUAACGAGGAUUGGUAGCUUGUAUUUAUAGCUGCCAAUCCUAAUUCUAAUCAGAACAUACUUGCAGAGAUAAUUAAUAAAACAUAUAAUAUUCCUACUUAAAAACAUAAACUAGAGUUCUAACUUGGAAACAAUAAUAUCAGUAGCAGAGGGGCUCUUAAAUAAUGGAAUCCGUGUGCAAUAAGGAAAAACGCAGCAGUGGCAGAGUGUGCUUCUAACUCUGAAGCUUGAAUCGUGAUGUGUUUAUCCUUGUUGGCCUAGGAUUUGAUUUGGUCUAGACUUCCUUCAUUAUAUGGUCCUACAUCAGCUCUAGUGAAGGCGUGGGGGUAGGCGGUGGCUGAUGAUAGCCACCUUUGCAAACGAUGAGAAAGAGCACGAUCCACCACAAAACAGCAGAAGACAAAGCAGUAGGCCGAGAGAAGAAAAGGGAGCAGAGUUGACCGAGAGAGAAGUAGAGCUGACCUAGAGAGCGGUAUCUUCACAAAUGGAGAGGUUUGUGUUUUCUGUAGCUGGUAGAAAAAAGAUACAGAGGAUGAUAGGCAACUGAGAUGGAGAGUACCUGUUUGUUUGCUGGUUUUAAAAAAAGAAGUUAUUUUCUAGAAAAUAAAUUAUUUAUUUAUAUAUAUAUAUAUAUAUAUAUAUAUAUAUAUAUAUUCAAGAAAAAUUAUUUAUAAAAUAUUUUUCAAUACUAGGUUAUAUCAUAAAAAUAGUAAAAAAUAGUUUAUUUAUUUAUAUUUUAAUUAUUUUUUAAGUUUAUUAAAAAAAUAAAAAUUACUAAUAAAAAAAUAGAAAAUAAAUCUGAUAAAUAAAAAAUUAAAAAAAAUUAAAAAAAUAAUUUCAUUAAUUAUUUUAAAUAAGAUAAAUAUCAAUUAAAUUAAUAAAAAUCAAAUCUAAUAAAUUUAAAAUUUCAAUUAAAAGAUAACAAUCAAAAGAGAUAAACUAAAUUUAAUAUAAAAAUCAAAUUUUAAAUGAUAAAAUUAAAAAAAUCAAAAUAAAAUAUAUAAAAGCUUAAAUAUUAAGGAUUAAAUUUGAUAUAUUAAUAAAUAAAAGAUAAAAUUUAGUCAACUUUUUAUAUAUUAAUCAAAAAUAAAAAUUAAAACUAAAAAACUAAUAAUUUAAUUAUUUCAGACAAAAAUUAUUUUAAAAAAUACUAUAUAUUUGAAUUCCAUGCACUUUUUUCAUUUUAGGUUUUAUUUCAAUCAUACCUCAACAAUAUUUAUUUACAAAGCAUACAAUUAAUUUAGUUAGUUUAAUAUAUUUUAUUAUUUUAAUUUAUUGAUAUCAAAAAUAAAUUUUAAAAAAUAAAAAUUUUAAAAAUUAAUUAUUGCCUCUAUGUGAAACACCAUUAAUUUUCUCUUCUUUCCAUUGCAUCAUUGGCUUCUACGCCUGCAAAUCUAGGUACCUUUUUUAUAUAUAAAAAAAAUUCGUUACUUUUUGCUAAAAACAACCAAGUUAGUGACAGUUUAUGCAUACUUGACAUGUCUUGCAGAGGAAACAGAAGCACCCUACUUUGCAUUCAGCUGGUUAAACGACAACAACACGUUCCAAACAGAAGAUGCUUCAACUAAACUGACCUAAGAGAGCUUAGACAAACAUCUCGAUAGACUUUGUUGAAGGCUUCAAAUGGUAAAUCUCGAUAGACCUAAGCAAUUUUUAUUCACAAAGAUAAAAUCUGGAAAGAACUAUUUAAGAUAUUAGGGGUGAAAUUGCUUUUAAGUUUAGCUUAUCACCCAUGAACUGAUAGACAAUCAGAAAAAGGUUAGCUAGUGCAUGCACAAACCUUAAAUGGUACAAUUCAAGUUGCCAUUCUGCUAUUAAAAUAUCAAACACCUAAAAUGAUGAUUCGGGGGAUAACUAAUGUGGUUGUUGUGGAUGAAAUGAUACAACAGAGAGUUGAAAUGAAUCGAUUACUUGGAUCUCAGAAAUGGCAAGGAACAAGAUGAAAUGGAUGUGUUUUUUUUUUUUUUUUUUCAGCACCUCGAUUUUGCUUACUGUAGCUCCUGUUGUUGCCCCUUUUUUUUUUUUUUUUUAAUAUAGCAGGUUUUUUCAAACUUGGAUGCAAUUUUUAAUUUUUGCUUUUCCCAGGAUCGAAUUAGGUUGCUCGCUAUCUUGCACGCCCUUUCUUUUCCUAUGCUUGUUUUCCUGCAGAUUGGUUGUUUUGCAGCAACGGUAUUUGACUCUUUUUUUUUGUUCGUCUUUAAAAAAAUAUUUUUUAUAUAUUUUUUAAAAGUUAUUUUUAAUAUUAAUAUAUUAAAAAAUUUCUUGUUAUUAUUAAUUAUGGUGUCUUAUCAUAUCAUUGGGGAGAGGUGAGUUUCCUCUUAGGUGACAUGUGGGAAAAAAGUAACCAUGGACGAGAAAUAAGGUGCCUUGCUCUACAUAUAGAGAAUGAAUUUGGCGUGCGUUAGUGGGUGGUUUGUGACAUUGUUAAAACUUCAUAUGUUUAGAGGUUGGUAUUGGGUCGAGACCCAAUUAAUGAAUUGUUAUUGACUUAAUCUCUAUGUGCUUCAUGGCGGGAUUUUAGUUCAGAAGCUUUUUGUUAACUCAGAGUUGUCAUGUUCAAUAUAUAAGCUUUUAUAUUGCUCAGGCACUUCAAAUGAAGAUGGAAGUGCGGAGGAAACUUCAUGGAUAUAUUGCAGGUAUGAAGACAUUUACAGCUGAGAAUUGAAGCUCGAGGGGAACUACAUGCAGUCAGUGUUGAAGAAAGCGCAAGAAAGACUGCCUAAACACUUCAAAAGACAGGAGGCUCAAGCUUAAAGGAUGCUAGAUGUUAUCUAAUUGAUUUUUAGUAGAGAUUUUCAGGAUUGAUUCGCUUAAUGGAAGAACUUGAUUGCACUGUCCUGCUUAUUAUGGCCAUUUUGAUUACCUUCAAGCUACUCUUUCUGCUGCCAUCAAUCCAACCUGUUACUGUUUCUUGGUAACUAUAUCUUCAUUCUAAGAUUGAUUUCGCUUUCCCUUCUCUUCUGUUUUUUUAUCAGAGUUAUCUCUGCAAAGACAAUGAACUUCGGGUGAGCCCCACAGGUUACAGCCAAGUAAACAACGAGAAUGCAUGCUCCCGCCAGCCUGCAAAAUCUAGCACAAAGCAAUCGUUUGGGUCAUAGUCUAAGGCCUUAGCCCACAGCCAAUCUCGAAAUGGAAUGAUUCUUUUAUUUGUUUUUUGUUUUUUGCAUUUAGGACUCUCAUUUCUUCGUAUGUUUACUUCGUUUAAUUUUUUAAUCAAAGCUAAAGCUCGGUUGACUUGAUCAAGAUGAUCGGAUUCACAGUCUAAAAGCCCUCAUCAACAUAAAUUAUCAUUUUAAAUUUGUUUUUUUUUUAAUAUUUAAUUUUUUAUAAGAUUUUUUAUAUAUGUAGCCUUGCAUAAUUUUUUUUUAAUUAUUAUUCAAUAAAUUUUAUGUGUGUUAGUUUCUAUUAUAAAUAUUAUGUUUUUUUAUUACAAAUUUAUUUUGAUAAAGAGGUUCAUUAAACAUAAUUAGGUAAAUUAUCCGUGUUGCGAUAUUAGAUAUCCUGAUUUUAUUUUUUGCUUGGUUUUUCAAUUUUAUUUUUGUUUAUUGUUGAUGAAUCUUUUUUUCAUUGCUUUACACAAAUUGGUUAUUGAUUUGUUUAAUUAGAUGCGUGCAUAAGCUUUUCAAUUAACAUCUAAGAGUUUUUUUUAGUGUAAAAAAACAUGUUGAAUAAUUUGUAAUUCAUUUUUUUUAUUAUGUUUUGAUGUUUAAGAUUUGAUGCUUAUUUUAUGAUUUUUUUUUUAUUUUUCCCUUGAAUCUUUUAUAAAGUUUUAUUGUUUUUAGUUUCACCCUUCAAUUCAAGUUUAUGUGUAUUUUUUUUUUCUUUGUUCUUUUGAUUUUUGUCAUUUUGUUAAUGUUUUUAUUUUUUCAUUUUAACUCUCAAAUUUAAAAUUUAUUGUUGCCGUUUGAUUUAUUUUUUAUUGCAAUUUUAACACUCAUUAUUUUUAUUGUAUUUUCUUGAUUUUGUGUUUUUUCUGUGAUUUUAACCCUCAUGCUUUUUUCAUGUAUAGUGCUUUCGAUUUAUAACCUGGGUCACGGUUUAAAAACAACAAUAAUUGAUUUUUUUAUCUUUUUUUUUUUAUUUUCUUUCUACGCAAUUAUCUUAUUCUCAUUUAUUUUUUUACUUAGUUAAUAAAUAAGAUCAUUGAGAUAUUUUAAGAAUAUUAUGAAGAUAUAGUUCUAUAAUAUUGGCAAAUGUUCAUCUUUUAUAUUGAAUCGUUGUUUUUUUUUCUGUUUUAUUUGUUAUCGAUAUUUUAUUUUUUAAUGAUAUUAUUAAAUUAACCGAGUCAAUUGAACUCAUUAGAGCCAAUUAUCUGUAUAUUAUAUAUUUUUAAAAUAUUUUUAUGCUAAAAAAAACCUUAGCAUAUCAUAGCCACCUAUUAAAAAAAACUAAAACAGAUCAGAGAAUCACUGUAGAUUGUGUCUAAAAUCACUGUGGAUUGCACUGUUUGCUUUUAAAAUUCAUUCUUGCGGUAAGUCUUAGCCAGUUGUGUUUCACUGUUUUUUCAUUUAUUUUGUUGGGCAUGUGGCAGGAUCCCUACCACAUAUCUUUAUGUUUUUUUUUAGCAGGUUACAGGUACAACUUUUCAUCUCUUUGUUUUUUCUGAUACAAACGCAAAGAACACCUCCCAAACAAAUCAAAUAACACAUUCACAAUUCCAGAUCUAUCUCUUCUCUGAUCUGUUUUAGUUUUUUUUUAAUUAAAAAAAAAUGCUAAAACGGCUUAAGGAAACAUUGUGCCCACUAUGUGUAAUUACUGUGGGCUGGAGCUUAGUGUUUUCAAAGCUAAGUUGGAAUUCAUGGAGGGAAGAUCGUCUUGGUUUCACUCCAAGAUCUCAAUUUGCAUUUCAGUUCUCAUCAGGAGGUCUGGGCGGAGCUUGCGUUUCGUUCACUCAAAAAGAAUGGAAUCUGGAUCCGUAAGUGAUUUUCUUCCUUACUUUAUAGAGCUUUGUCUGAUAGGGAAUUUUAGCUCCUCCUUUUUCUUGCUGCUUGGGUCCUCACGGACAGAUUUUAUAAUUGCAUAAUAUAGAUCCCAAAAGGAAAGAUCAGGAAAUGAAGAGUGAACAACGGCUUGUGAUAGCUUAGGCUAAAAGGGAAAGGGACUUUAUUCUGCAGAGACGUCGCCGCCACCAGAAAAUAUGGCUUGAUUUUAGGAGUCCUUUCUUCUGGGUUGUAUGUGUUCUCAGUAUGCUACAUUAAAUGCAACGCCCACUUGGUUGGAUUUGAUUGAGAGAGCAGGUGAGUUUAUUUGUGAUUAGUAAUUUGGUCAGAUUAUCAAAAAAAACUAAAAGAGAUCAGGAAAACAUUGUGGAUUCACUGUGGAUUCAAACAGUGUUUCUCACAACGAGUUUGUUCAAUUUCACGAGAAGUUUUGUUUAAUUUCUUUAAUUAUUUUUAUGUGUUGUUCACUGGCGGUUUCUUGGAUUUUGGUGGUUUCUUGGAUUCGAUAGGUGCGGUUUGUGGGGGAUGGGACAUUUAUCGGGGCUGGGAUGGUUAGGUGAGGUUUGCGGGGGAUGAGAUUGAUGUUGGGAUUGGGACUACAAAAUGGCAUAGGAAUCUGGAAUCAAUCAAGAACCAGCCGAGAACUUGCCUAAAAAAAGAACAAAAACGUGGGCACCAACCCAAAAAAUCUGGCGUGAUUUUGGGAGCCAUUUCUUCUAGAUUGUAUGGGUUCUCAUUAUGUGCAUUAAAUGCGAUGUCCACUUGAUUAGAUUUAGUUUUGUAUUACUAAAAAAGCUGGUAGGUUUCUUUGUGUUUGGUUGGGGAUUUUACUUUAAUUUUUGUUGUUGAGCACUUUGUGUACUGUUGUAGCUCUGGAGAUUACUGGUUACCAGGCUUGCCUAAAUCAAGCUGCAUUUCAGUUGAGUUUCAAUCUAUCAGAUCAAUUUGUCAUCUUUUGUCUUCUUUAUUUUUUUCCUAUCCCUGUCACCCUACCCUCUAAAAAAAAAGUCAUGAAGGCUAAAGUUAAAGAAUCGAUUCUCUCUCUCUCUUAAAAUUGAUUUGCUCAAUCUCACUUCCUUUUCAUUCUCACGAACAUGGCUUCUUUGCCAUGAAAUAUUCUUCUUUCCUUCCUCCCCAUAAGCAUCCAUUCACUUUGUCUCUGUGUUUAAACAAAAAAAAACAAACACUCACACAACAGGUUUCUCUCUCUCUCUCUGCCUCUCUCUCUUCCAUUCACGAAAAAAAAUUGAUCUCUUUGUUAUUUUUUGUUAUUUAUAUUCAAUUAUUGUAAACUCCUUCCUACAUGAAGAAUUUUUCAUGAUUUUAAUUGAAUUCCCAUAUGAGCUUGCAUAUUUAUUUAUUAUUAUGUAGAAGUUCUAGAAUGGGUUGUUUACCGCCAUCGUGAAGUUUGCUCAACAUGCAUGGCUCGACUUUGUUUCAUCUGUGAUGAUUGUCGUCGUUGUAUCUGCAAGACCAAGUCAUCUGUCGUUUUUGUCAUCAAGGUUAGGCCUGCCUUUUCAAAUUCCAUCUUUUAUGACUGUUAAUUCAUUUGAAUUUGAUGAUGGGCGUGAUUAAUUGAUAAUCAAUGAAUCAAAUUUGUUAGUUAGGUUAUGCUAUUUUCUUUAUCUUUGAAUAAGCAAGUGCAUAAUUUGUUGACAUCUCUAUAUUGCUUACCAUUGAUCUUGAUUAUUUCCAUGUAUAUUUAACAAUCUAAGCUUAAAUUGGUUAUUCCAUCUACGGUCCCUAACUUGGUUUUUAUGAGUAACAGUUUGCCCAGUCAGACCCAGUAAUCAGAUUGAAGAUUUUUGCAGCAUAGCUACUGGGUUGGGGUGAAGAAAUGAAAGUAGUGGUUGGAAAGUUAUAUUAUAUGGAGUUGUGUAAACACAUGUAUCGUGAUCAACAAUUAUUUAUGAUUUUGUCCAUAUAACUUCAUGAAUUCGGUUGACAACAAUAUUGACUUUAUUUUGUGGUCUUAAAACUUGGUGUCAAAAGUAAAGAAUGAACUAUAUGUAUAACGUGUGUGGUCUAUUACAUUACUAUCAAUCUGUUAUAGCUCAAGCUCAUUGUAGGAAAGUUAUUGUCUUGGACUAUUAAUUGUGCCUUUCUUUGAUGUUAUAUGCCUAAAUGUAAUGACAGAGAAGUCUUUUGUUAAUUUUGUUUUUCUUUCUAAUACCGAUGACAUUUUUUAUAAUGUAGAUUAUUAGGGCAUCAUCUCGGAUGGCAGGUUUGUGGGCAUAACCGCUAAGCAUUGACCUUCAUGUUAUGUUGAGAGGUGUGAUUAUUCAAGUGAUCCAAAUGAAAGCUAAUCCAUAUGCAUGUCAAAGAGACUUAUGACUUUUUUUUUUCUAACUAUCCAUAAGAUAUCUUUCUUGGCUUUACUUCUGCCUUCAGGAAACUACUGCUUGAAUUGGGAUGCAAGGAGGUUAUUUUCUAGCUUUAUAUCCCAAUGAACAAAACCCAUGUUAUGGCAAUAUUUGAUAACUGAAAUCGCUUGAGGGAUCUAUUGCUGCUACCGGCUGUUAGCUGAAGAAGAGUGUGAGAGGGAAAGAUUGGAUUUUUAUGGGAUGUUGAGGGUUUUAUGCGUGCGUGCGUGUGAAAGAAAGAGAGAGAUCUUUGUUGAUUGAGAAGAGAAGGAUCUAAUGUUUUUUCAAAAUUUUCUUGCAGAGAUCUUUAGACCAACAAUAUAGUUGUAGGGAUCUGCACAAGUUGAUCAGAAAGAAAACUUUGUAAGUGGUGUACAUCUUUCUAUGUAACUAGCAAUUUAUUACACGGUUAAUCAAGUUUUUUCUUUCAUUCAGCAAUGAGAAUGUGAUCAAUUAAUUCUUGGACUUUACAAGAUUUUAAUGGCUUCCUACUUUUGCCUUUUUUUUUGUUUCACCAUUAAACAAAUAGUUUACAUGAUAUACUAUAGCUUUGGAUAGGGACUGGCAGAACUUGGUGGUUGGUUAGGUUGCAGUCCUAACACAAAAUCAUUGAGUGUUUACAACACCAUCAACAAUUAACGCUGGACCACAUAGAAGAUGUGGUCAUUGAUGGAAAAUAGGUUGUAAAAAAGAGUUUGGCAAGUGCAGUGUUAUGUAUUAUAUCUUUUUGUUAAAUCAAAGGUGGUGAGUGCAUUGUUGUAGGGGUGGCUUCCAAGGUUCUUAUAGUUGGUCUUCCUAUAUAAUCAACACUAUCACAAUCAUUUACAGUGGACUUCCAACAUGUUACAAUGGUCUCGUAUGUUGAAGCCAUGUAGGAAACAAGUCUACAUGCUCCCAUCAACCUGUAAUUUCUAACACAACACAACUAUUGAACUUUUUGGUCCAGAAAUUUGAAGAGGACAUGUAGGUAACAUGUAUGAAUGCUCCUAUUAGGUUGUGAUUUCUAACACAUAACAACCAUUGAGCGUUUUGGAUUAGAAUUUCAAUGAAGAUCCUAAUCAUUCAUAAGAAUAUAUAUUUAUCACUUUGGGCUAUACUGCUUGAAAAUAGAAAACAAGCUAGGUGGUUUAUUUUUGGUUUGCCCUUUUUAAUUCAAAGAUUUCUUUCAUUCUUUUCAUGUUUCAUUACUAUUGAUACUGGAUUAGCCUUAUCCUUCACUCCAUUUAUUUUUGCUCAUCUCAUUAAUGUCCAUGAAUAACAUCACCUUCUUUUUAUAGGAAAACUGAAGCUCUAGAAAGGCUGCAUCACCGCUUUAGAAAUUUUUUUGUUGAUACAGUUGUGGCCUUCACAAACUUUUUCAUGGCUGCUAUGUAUAUUUAUUAAGAAACAUGAAACUCCAUACCAUGCUAGACUAACGUGCUUAAUUGAACAAGACAAUUCAAAUAUGUAAUUGCUUUGAAGGGUUUGAAACAACUCAUACGGCUGCUUUAUUGUUUUGCAUUACAGCCUUGCACAUGUUCAAAAAAAAUAAUGCAUUUUGCUUUUAUUGUGUUUAUAUAAACAUAGAACUAAUAUCUCAACCCGCGGCGAAGCGCGGGCAACAAAUCUAGUCUAGUACUAUCUAUAAACAUAUCAUCUUAUCCCAUCUCAUGUCACAUACUCAUUAAAAGCUUGACACGUGUAUGAUACACUGUGGUGCAAUCUGUGGUACAAUGACAAAGAUAUUUUAUAUCGAUUGAGAGGUUAAGGAGCCAGUCAAUAUUUUAUAUUUCAGUCUUUUGUGGCAUUAAUAAUAAUGAUAGAAACAUUGGUCCACACUCUUAGUUUCUUUCAUGGCAAAUACUUUUCCCUCAGGUCGAUGAUGAAGAGUAUAUGUAGGGUUCUUGAUUAUUCCUUCUUGUCGAGAAGCUUGUAGCAAUCUAUCACGGUGUCCUUGUCAAGAAAGAUCUGCCUAGGAAUAUAAACAUAUAGCUUGAAAAUGGAGAGCUAGAAUGAAAGUUAAUUAAUUAGGAUGAAAACAAAUUUGAAAAGGAAUUUAAUGAGAUUAAUUUAUUAAGAAUGUUUUAUUUCUAUAAAAGUUUAAUCUAUCCGCAUGCAUGCUAAGCAUAUAUUCAAACUAGCAAUUGAUAUAAAAUCAAAGUUCUAACAUACAUGCUAAUAAUAAAAUUAACUAUACUUAAAUCAAAACAAAAAAUUAUACUUGUUGAAGGACUUUAAAAUAAUAAGUUUUUUAUCGUUGUCAAGGAUAAAUUCAUUGCCCUUAAAGUUUUAUUGAUUGUUACUUGUGUAAUUAAGAUGUUUGUAAUAUGUUUUUCAAGAUUCUAAUGGCACUUUUAAACAUUUGAAUAAAAAAAUAUUAAACUCAAAUAUCUCACAAUAAAAUGAAACAUAUGCUCUAGAUUUGAGAGGAAAACUAAAGCUUAAAAUUAAAAGAAAACACUAAAAUAUUUGGAGGUAUUUUUAUCCUUUAACACAGAUCUUUUUAUUGUAUUUUCUUGAUUUUGGAUUUUUUGUGUUGUUUUUCUGUGAUUUUAACCCUCAUGUUUUUUUCAUGUAUAAUGAUUUCAAUUUUAUAACCUGGAUCACGGUUUAAAAAGUUAAUAGUAAUUGAUUAUUUUAUCUUAUUUUUUUGUAUUUUUCUUUCUACGCAAUUAUCUUAUUCUCAUUUUUUUUUUACUUUGUUAACAAAUAAGAUCAUUGAGAUGUUUUGAGAAUAUUAUGAAGAUAUAGUUCUAUAAUAUUGGCAAAUGUUCAUAAUUUCCAUUGAAUCGUUGGUUUUUUUUUUCCUGUUUCAUUUGUUGUCGAUAUUUUAUUUUCUAAUGAUAUUAUUAUAUUAACCGAGUCAAUUGAACUCAUUAGAGCUAAUUAUUUGUAUAUUAUAUAUUUUAAUUUUUUAAAAUAUUUAUUUUUUUUCAAUAUUUUUAUGCUAAAAAAAAAACCUUAGCAUAUCAUAGCCACCUAUAUAGUACUAUCUACAAACAUAUCAUCUUAUCCCAUCCCAUGUCACAUACUCAUUAAAAGCUUGACACAUGUAAGAUACUCUCUGAUGCAACCUGUGGUACAUCGACAAAGAUAUUUUAUUGGGUAAGAUGUUGGCCUUCGCUUGCUGGGCCUAACAACACCUGGCAUGAUUUCUUUUUUAUUAUUUUUAAAAUUUUUAGUUUUUCUUUUUAAAUAAAUAAUUAUUUGUGUGUAUUUUAUGAAUUAAAUUUUGGGUUUAUGUUUUAAUUAUAUUGUAAUUAUUUUUAAAUAAUAUUUGAUGUAUUUAAUUUUUAAAGAAAUAGAUAUGAUUCAUGUUAUUAUUUAAAUUAACCAAGUCAAUUGAAUUCAUUAGAGCCAAUUAUCUAUAUAUUAUACAUUUUUUAAGUAUUUAUUUUUUUCAAUAUUUUUUAUGCUAAAACAAAUAAACCUUAGCGUUAUAGCGAAUCGCAGCUAGUAUUACCUGUUAACUACAUAUCAUCUGAUCCCAUCCCAUGUCACACACUCAUUUAAAGCUUGACACGUGUAUGAUACUCUAUGGUGCAACCUGUGGUACAACGACAAAGAUAUUUUAUACCGAUUGAGAGGUUAAGGAGCCGGUCAAUAUUUUAUAUUUCAGUGUUUUGUGGCAUUAAUAAUAAUGAUAGAAACAUUGGUCCACAAUCUUAGUUUCUUUCAUGGCAAAGACUUUUCCCUCAGGUCGAUGAUGAAGAAUAUUUGUAGUGUUCUUGGUUAUUCCUUCUUGUCGAGAAGCUUGUGCCUUGUAGCAAUCUAUCACGGUGUGCUUGUCAAGAAAGAUGUCCAUAUUAAAGGGUAGAAGUGGUAAACAAAAGAGAUGACAGAAGGAGGAUGAAAGCACAUGAUCUCUCUAGGAAUUCUAUGUACAAUUAAUGCUCGAUAAUCAACUUCUUUUCGCGGUUAAAAGAUUAAAGAAUUAAUUUUUAUUAUUAAUAAUUUUUUACUCUUUAAAUAGAGAAUGGCUUUAGAUUAAAUUUUUAUUUAUUUAUACUUUAUUUAAAUUAUAUUAAAGAAAACAAAUUUCCAGCGCAAAGCAUAACAACACACCUUUUCAUUUAUUUUUUCUUAUUUUGUUUCUUUAAUUUAGUUUUUAAUUAUAUCUUCUUCUUUUUUUAAAUCUGUUAGUUUAACUAUUUUUAAAUAGUAAUUAAUCUUUUGGAUGGGUUUUUAAAUUUCAUAAUAUCUCAAAGGGAUUAUUGUAAUUUAUUUUAAUUUUUUUAUUAAUUUUUUUCAUAGCUAGAUAAGUUAUAUUUGCAUUAUAUGUUUUUAAUGAUGAAAAUAAAAUGUACUUAAUAACCAUAAUAAACCUUCAAGAUACAUAAAAAGAAACUCAUCUAUAAAAAAUGACUACCAAGUUUAUGUGUACUGUCAAGUCCAAGUCUAUUGAUGCAAGACCCAUAUAUUUAUAUUAAAUAAAUAAAUAAAAUAACACACCAGUUAUAUUGAUUUCCUUCGCAAUUGAAGUAGGUUAGGCUGGACUGCCUAAAUAUGAUGAAUAAAGGGCUGGAUUUGCAAAAUUAUUUACACAUUUUAAUUUGUUGAUUUGAUACUUCUCAAUCUGUGAAUUUACACUGCAUUAGUAAUUAAGAACUUAGAAGGUGAAUUGACAGAAAAGAAGAAGAAGAAGAAGAACCUAAUAUGUUAUUACUGAAAAGAGUAAAUUUCUGAACCUAACUCACAACAAUUUCCUUCAUUAUUGCUCACUAAAUGUUAUUACUGAAAAGAGUAAAUUUCUGAUCACUCUAUUUCUGAGAUGGCUGCCAACUCUUGGUGAAGACGUCUCGCUGGCAUGCGGCCUGCGCUGCUUCUCUUAGGGACAGAGGAGCUAAAAGGAUCAGGAGGCUUUGUUAAGUUUUCUCCUUCCCCUUCAAGCAUCUGGACAACAGUUUUCAUGGAAGGACGCUCUGCUGGGUUCCACUGAAUGCACCAUAGCCCCACAAUUGCUAGUUUCUUCGCAAUUUUAGCAUCUUCUUCUCCAUCGAUAUGAAACCGCAGGUCUUCUUCCUUUUCUAAGAGAUUAUAAAUCCAUUCCGGGAAGUAUAUCUGGUCGCCAUUUUCUGCUGUAUCAUCGACGUUUUUCCUUCCUCCAACCAUUUCCAACACUAACAUCCCAAAGCUGUAAACAUCUGAUUUAUAGGAAACACUCCCGAAGUUCCUCGAGAACACUUCCGGGGCAAUGUAGCCAACAGUCCCCCUAGCAGUCGUCAUGGAAAUAGCACUUUUAUCCUUGGAACACAGCUUUGCCAUCCCAAAAUCGGCGAUUUUGGGAUUGAAUUCGUUGUCAAGCAGGAUAUUCUGUGGUUUGAUAUCAAAAUGGAGGAUUCUUUGAUCACACCCCUGGUGAAGAUAUUCAAUCCCCUUGGCUAUGCCUAGAGCAACACGAUUCAACCUUUCCCAGCCAAGGAAAUGGUUCCUUGAGUCUGCUGAGGUUAUGAACUUCUGUAAUGAACCAUUUGGCAAGUACUCAUAAACCAGAGCUCGUCUGAAUCCAUCAGCACAGAAACCGAUCAAGCGAACAACAUUGACAUGGUGGAUCCUUGCCAUUGUUCCCACUUCAUUGAUGAAUUCCUCCCCUUUUCCUAUGGAAUUAUUGAGGAGCUUCACAGCUACAGCAAUUUCAUUGGUUAGCUUUCCUUUGAACACGGUUCCAUAAGCUCCUUGGCCCAAUUCAUCACCGAAUUGAUUUGUGAUCCUCUUGAGAUCAGCGUAGGAGUACCUAGUGGGAUUCAGUGAUCUGUAAUCAUCCAAAAACAUUUCAACCCUGCUUGAUAUUCUCUUUGUGUUUUAUCGUUGCUAUAGGCGCGGUAGAGUGCAGUAAUCACUAUAGCAAAAAGGAAGAAUCCUAAAAUCACACCUGCAUAUCAACAUUCUGAGUCAGGAAAUCUCUGUUUUUUGGGACGUAAGUAUUGAACCAAGUGUAAAAUUGAGAUGGAGAUUUGAGCAGACUACUAACCAGUAAUCAGUAGCUUUCGCCGCACAUCUGUAAGGGAUUGAAUACUUAUUAGCUUCUCCCUUUUGCAGGCAAUGGUAAAAUCAUGAAAGCAACAAAAACGAAAAGAGUUUCUUUAGUGUUUUGUUAUUUACAUAUUCAAAUGCCAAUUAUUAAUUUGAAAAAAGGAAGAAAGAUAGAAAAGCAUACCUUUAGUGUGCUGAAGGUAGCAUUCAGUUACAGAAGAUCCACAAGCUGGAUUGGACCAAGACAUAGUAAGAACAGAAUUUUCUUCCUGCAUCAUACUAUAUGGAAUUCCAUAAAUGUUGUACAUCUUGGUACAAGAUAACAAAUCAGAGUAACUGAUGGGAACACUUGAGUCAACGGCAUAAACUUCAUGCUUAAAAGUACUCAGACAUGGGAUUUUAUACAGAGACCUUUUCUCACUAGAAAGUGAACAAUUGAACAAGGUCCGAUUAUACAGCCAAUCGUUCAUAAUUUGGAAGGGAGAAGCCCCUAAACUGAAGUUUAAACGUUGCCUUGGAAAGCAACCUUGAGGAUACCUUGCAUAAAUAAGUUGAUGUCUAUAGUCAAUUCUUUCGAUGUGGAGACUCAAUCCAGUUGGCAGCUUAAGCACUGUGCUGUUGUCCUCUGAGCAGGAUAGAUCAUACCCAGGAUAGCCACAGUGGUCUGGUUGUUUGUCCUUGAUCCGGAAAGGAAAUCGGAUGUCAGGGCCGGGGUUUCCACAUGAUCCUGUGCAGUUCAAGCUUGCUCCAUGGCCUGCAAGGAAGACAAUGAAAAAGAAGAAGAAACACGUAACCAUUUCUGAUGAAUAAUUCAUCAUCUCCACACUCCUCCUAAGACUUUAUCUGCAUGUGCUGAUAUAGUUUAGGCCUUUCAGAAAACUCAUGUAGUCCUUAGAUGGGCGAGUACUGUAGUACACGCGUCCUUGCAUGAGAAUUUAUUUACUCCAUCGAUCUAGUGUGAUGCUCCUCCCUUUGACAUUCCUCCAAUCACAAACAUGUGGGAUCCCUAGCAAGAAUCUCUCUGUUGACAUAGCAUUCACAACUAAUAUGAAUAGGCACAUGGUAACAUGUUGAAUUUGGAAAUCUAGAACUGGCAGAAAAACUAGAUUCUAUGAAAUGAAUUUUAAUUAAAUGGUCGCCCUCUUAAUGCUUAUGCCAGAAGGGACUAGUAGUCAUGAUGGAUGCGAAAUUCUCAACAUGCAUAUUUGAAUGCAUUAUAUUUAAAUUGUGUUAUUAAUUCUUUUCUUCAUAAAAAGCUACAUACCAUUAACAAGAGAAAAGGAAACAGAAAUCUAAAUUUGUUUGCUGGGUCUAUGCUCUAAUUAGGUUUGGUUAUGUGUGCUUCUAUUCAUUUCUCUAAAUUCUAUAUAUGCAUUGGCCAGGAAAAAAAAUAUCACACUGCAUAAAUUUAUUUUAGAAAAUAACAUAUAUAUUUGAAUUUGUUAGGACAACUUGACUAGUGCAACAAGACAAAAAAAGAAGAAAAGAAAAAGAAAAAGAAAGAUAGCUGGGCCAGAUAAAAGGAAAAGGAACUAAAAAACGCAACUUCGUUACACCAAAAAGAAUGCUAGAAAAAUACUUUCUCAUCGUCAAUGUGAAAAAAGGAGGAAUCCAAACGCAUAUGCAAGUUCCAAAUCGGCUAUUAUGAAAAAUUACAUUAUUUAUGUACCCAAAAUCCAAAUCAAUUAUAACAACAGCUAAAACUACAUAAUAUUUUACUUUACAAGUUCACAGUGAAACACUGAGCUGUCUUUUUCUUUUCUUUUUUUGCUUAUUUGCUUUUUUAGUUGUUUUUUUUCCUUUUUUCUUUGUUUUUUAAAGUUGUUUCUUUUCUUUGUUUUAUUUUUAAUGAAUGUUUUUUUAAUUUUUUUUUUGUUAAUGUUAAAUUUUUUUCUAUUUAGUUAUCAAAUUUUUAUGAUACAGGUUUCGAGUUUAAUGGGUUAACCCAUAUUUUUUUUCUGGUUUUUCUUUAAUUAAUUUUUUUGAGUGCAGCCCACAGUGAAACGCUUAGCUAUCUUUUUUUUUCUGCUUUGUUUUUUUAAGCUGUAUUUUUUUUUUGUUUUUUUUUUUUUAAGCUGUUUUGUUUUCUUUGUUUUUUUUAAUGAAUUUUUUUUGUUUAUUUUUUUUUGUUAAUGUUAAAUUGUUUUCUAUUUAAUUAUCAAACUUUCAUUACAUGGGUUCCGGGUGUGACGAGUUAACCUGAAUUUUUUUUUUCUUUUUAAUUAAUUUUUUCGUUUAAUUUAGUUUGUUAAUGUUAAAUUUUUUUUAUUUAGUUAUCAAACUUUCAUGACACGGAUUCCGGGUUUGACGGGUUAACCCAUCUAAUUCUGAGUUAACCCGUAAUUUUUUUUUUCUAUUCAGUUAUCAAACUUUCAUAACACGAAUUCCAGAUUUGACGGGUUAACCCAAUUAAUUUAGAUUUUUUUUCUUUUUCUUCAUUAGUUUUUUUUCUAUUUAAUUAAUAUUAAAAGAAUGAAGUAAAUGAAUAAAUUGAGUGAUUAUUACCAAUGAGAAUUAUUGAUAAUUUAUAUGAAAUUACUAGAAUUAUGUGAAAGACCGCUUUAACUUUUUUAACCUGGUUGCUCUGUCUCAACCGAUUCAAUUAAUUUCUAGAAAUCAGUUUACUUUUAGCAUUUUCACUAUCUGUCCCUUACAACCGAAGGAAGCAUAUCUUAGAAUAUCUCAUGGAUUUGGACUGGAUUGGGUGUUUUGGUUUUUGAUGAGAUGCUCCAAGAAAAAUAUCAGGCUCGCUGGAUGUCGUUGUUUGUGGUAUUGACAGUUGAUGACUUUUUUUUUUUUAUUACUUUUCAAAGUUAAUGAUUCUGACAUUUCGAAGGAGGUGGGAAAUUAUCUUCGUCUGUGAAGUAGUGUUGAAUGGUGGAUCAAUAACUCACUGUCUGCUUUGCUACUAUUCCUAUCCGAUGACUCUGACAUUUCAAAGGACGACCAGGUAGGGGUGUUCUCCUUCACCUUUCAUUGCAUUAUCGGUAGCUUCCACUCCGAAAUUCAAUAGUUUUUGUUGGAGUAAAAAGAACAGGAAAAAAGAAGAACAGUUUGUGCAAAAAUUGCGUAUACACUGUGUAUCACUUCAGCCUUCCCCAUGUUUAAUUAGAGGAAUGAACGUCCUUUUUGCUUGCUACAUAGCUUUUCUUUUACAGCUAUUAGUCUUCCAAACUUGCCAUUCUAGCAACAUCACUGCUCAUUGUGCUCCUUCUUCAUGCGGCAACAUCCAAAACAUAAGCUACCCUUUCAGACUAGACACUGAUCCACAAAGCUGCGGAAACAAUAAUUAUACUCUGAUUUGCGAGAACAAUAUUUCUACAGUAUUAAAUUUGUAUUCAGGUAAAUACUACGUGCAGGCAAUCAACUACGGUAACUUCACAAUCCGAGUGGUAGAUGCUGGUGUACAAGAUAAUUGCUGCUCCAUCCCUCGUUAUUCUUUGGCACCUGAUAACUUCAGUGACGGAGAUCCGUACACAUGGUAUAACUACAAGCAGGUGCCGCGUGGAAUUUCCGUGUACUCUUGGCGGUACAAUUUACAUUCUACGCUAUCACUGCCUAUGAUUUUCAUGAGCUGUGAAAAUACGGUGAAUUUUCCUCUUUAUGUGGACACGGCUCCCUACGGAUCAGUAAAUUAUUCCAACUCUUCUCUUGUGACUCGUUCGAAUUAUGUGACUCUUGAGGUCAUGAGUGCCUCGGAUUUGAUGGAACUGUGCAGCAUAGAGAAAAUAUUUUUGCUUCCAAAGAAGAGCUACACAUACAAGUCCUUUGAAGAAAUACACAGUGACCUGGCAUAUGGGUUUGAGCUUUCAUGGUACAACAUAAACUGUGGAAAAUGCAGAAGAGGUUGCUACGUCAGCUGGUCAGACAAUCGUCGAUGCUUUGGUAUGUAACACUUGAUGAUUAAGUUGCAUCACUUUGAUUCAUAAGACCAUAUAUAACUUGUGAUUUGAGGUGGUUUCAUAUAUUUUCUCUGGCUUACUUUUCAAUUUUCAUUUUUUUCUGCGCAUUAGCACAAUAUUGCACUGUCCCCAGAUCGAUGUUCAUGUACAAAUUCUGUGCAUCCAUUACCUGUGAAUUCUACUAUAGUGGACUGAUCAUAAGAUUCAUUCAUGUUCAUAUUGUAAAAUAUUCUGACUAUAAUAUGGACAGAUUCAUUGGUCUUUUGCAAUUUCAGGAUUGACACAGUAAACCGUUUGGUUCAUCUUAACUUGACCAUGGAUACACAUUAAUUAGUUCAAGUCACAUUAUUAAAUUGUGUGCGCUCUUAUCUAUUUUUUUUUUCGCAUUUACUGUUACGUAUACCAUUAGAACUCUUUUUUAACCUAAAUUCUCGACAGAUUUUGGUGAAAGCAAUUGGCAACUUAUACUCUACAAUGUGACAGGUGCGAAUUCUAUUUCUACAUCUCACCAUGUUUGUGUAUUCUUACGUGUUUCUUUAAUUAAACUGUUAGAAAUAUUUGAAGAAGAAGAGUAAAAAUAGGAAUAUGAGAAAUAUGGUGAAAAACAAAUCUCAUAGUAAACUCCGCUAAGAGAGGAAGUCCUACUAGACUUGGACUUAGACUUGCAAUAUUUUUAAUAUAUAUUUAUAUUAGUUUAGGAUAAUUCAAGAGAUUUAAAAGAUAAAUAUAUAUUUAAGUAGUUACAUGUAUAUAUUUAGGAGACAUCUAGGAAAACUAAAACUAAAAGACACUUUAAAUGUAGACUUGAAAAUUAAUUCUAACAUAAACAACAUGUUUGUGAAAUAAGGAUUGUUGUUUCUUGAAUAGUAAUUGUAAUUUUGUUCACCAUUUUCUGCAGCUUUCCUCCUCUAUAUAUACGUUUCAAUUGGUAAGAGAUUCCUUCAUUUCUUUAGUUUCGCAACAUAUUUCUAGUGGAGACAACAAAUAAGAUCACAAAACUUGAUUGUUUUCUGGAAAUUUCCUACACAGCACUACUUCAUGUGCUAAAAGUUGUUUGUGGGACUCCAUGUGUGAUUAUAUUUUUGAUCUACAAAUGGCAAAGGAGACAUUUAUCAGUAUACGAUACAGUUGAACAAUUCCUACAAAGUCAGAAUAACCUGAUGCCAGUAAGGUAUUCCUACUCAGAUAUCAGGAAGAUUACUAGAGGUUUCAAGGACAAAUUGGGUGAAGGAGGCUUUGGUACAGUUUACAAAGGAAAGCUUCGCAGUGGGUGUUUUGCAGCAGUAAAAUUGUUGGGAAAAUCAAAAGCUAAUGGACAGGAUUUCAUAAAUGAAGUUGCUACCAUAGGAAGGAUUCACCAUACUAAUGUGGCGCAGCUAAUCGGUUUUUGCGCCGAAGGAUCAAAGCGUGCUCUUGUAUAUGAUUUCAUGGCUAAUGGAUCUCUUGAUAGACACUUGUUUUCUCGAGAAGGAUCAAUCUCUUUAAGCUGGCAAAAACUGCAUCAUAUUUCCCUUGGAGUGGCUCUUGGUAUCGACUAUCUUCAUUUAGGCUGUGACAUGCAAAUACUUCAUUUUGAUAUCAAGCCUCACAACAUUCUUCUCGAUGAAAAUUUCACUCCAAAAGUCUCUGACUUCGGGCUCGCUAGGUUGUACCCAAACGAAUGGCAGCAUCACAUCUCUUACUGCAGCAAGGGGCACCAUAGGAUACAUGGCUCCUGAAUUGUUCUACAAAAACAUUGGACGUGUCUCCUAUAAAGCUGAUGUUUAUAGCUUCGGAAUGCUGCUAUUGGAAAUGGCAGGCAAAAGGAAAAAUGUAAACGCGUUGGCAGAAAAUUCAAGUCAAAUCUACUGGCCAUAUUGGGUUCAUGACCAAGUAUCUGAUGGAAAGGCCAUAGAAAUCGGAGACGAUGCCACGGAGGAAGAACGUAAGAUCGUCAAGAAGAUGAUUAUGGUUGGAUUGUGGUGUAUACAAAUGAAACCCAUGGAUCGGCCUACAAUGAGGAAUGUUGUGGAGAUGCUGGAAGGAGAUUUGGAAAACUUGCAAUUGCCUCCUAAGCCUGUCUUCAAUCUAGAUGUGACGCCACCAAACAUUGAAGGAGAGUCAUCAUCGUUGCCAGGUGAUUCUACCGAAUCAACCAGUUUGGUUGAAAAUGCAUACUAAGUUAUAUGAUGUGGAAUGCUAUGCUUACAUGCAGGGAAAAUGAAUAAUGGUGCUUUCGGACUUGGUUAUGAUAAUUUGCAAUACUUGCUUUUAUCUGAUUUGUGUUUAGCUAAUUUAGAGUUCAAGCUGCGGCUUGUUUCUUCGGUGUGGUCUAUAUAAUCAUCAUACAAAGAUGUUCUGUAUUGUGUUUAACUAUCAGAUUUCCACUCUGUUUGGCAAUCAUAGCAGUUGGCGAGGAUGGAACAUCCUCCAUGAUAACUGUUCCAUGUUCUACAUAUUAAUUAUCCUAUAUUUUUCUCCAACAGAAUAAUAUUUUGGCUACAAAUUAACAAGAGACUAUCACAGGGAUUAUAUAAACAAGUUGAUGCAUGAAAAGACGAGUCUCUAUUUAUAGGUAGCCACUACAAGUAGCUUCGGAGACCACAAAUACAAGUCAAGUCUCUCUAGUAAUCCUUCCACUAUAAGUAGCUUCGGAGAUAGAAAAUAGCGAUUUAUUUGCUAUCAUAGGGAUGAUUCUGAACAGAGGGGCUUAAUUUCAUUUUCUUCCACCAACAAUGCCUUCUUGUCAAUGUUCAGCCCCAUGAUAAUCGAUCUAGCGUCACCAUUUGCACAUUACCAUAUCUUGCAUAAGCCACGAGGAACCAAUCACAACAAAACAGGAUUGAAAACCAUGACCAUAACGGGUGCUGUGAAAUGAAUAUUGAAACAGAUGGGUGAAUUUGAUGCAGAAAAGUAGAGAGGAGACAAUGAAGCUUGCUUACCGGUCAUGGCAUUUCACCAGGGAGCUCUGCUUCUUCAAAAAUGCUCAACUGUGUUCAACAACCUUUCAGGAUCUGCUUCAAUUUUCUUAAGAGAAUGGGAAACAGUGAACGGGAUCCUCGUUAGCUGCGGGCAAUCACCGACUGUAAUUUCCUCAAGAGAAUAGAAGACUUCCAGAAUAAAUGCUAUUCAAAUUAUGACAUUUGUUCUACGAGAUAUUCCCACUUUCUCAGGAUGAAAAUCAUCCCACAAAUCAUCAAGAAUGAUAACAUGGUUUUGAAUCGCACUCAAUGCUGUCCUUAGCUCCCCAGCUCUACUCGUCACAUCUUUUCCUUUCGGAAGACAUAAACCAAAAGCUUCCUCAAUGAGAUCCUGCAAUGCGUGAAUGCUAAAUUCUUGUGACAUAGCAAUCCAACAAACAUGAAAAAAAAUGUCUGGUUUAUCUUGAACCUGGUUAUGGAUAUGUGCAGCCAAAGUUGUCUUUCCCACUCCUCCCAUCCCGUAAAUGCCAAUGCAUGAGACCUCACCACUCAACAACCAAGACCAGACAUCCUUCAUGUUUCUUUCAAUAGCUUGACCCACUAGCUUCGUUGUCGGGAAUACAUAUCUUUUAGUCCUGCGUCGCUUAUGUACAGGCCUUUUAGAAUAGCUUACCGUGUAAAUUCUCAAGUCAUGUUCUCUAUAUAAAUUCUUAACAAAACAUCCCUCGUUGAUGAGGAUGAGAUGUUAUUCGAGAUCAUUUCAAAUGCCUGACAUGUUUUCUCUGUUCUCUGUCUGGUCUCGGGUUCAUCUGGCAUAAGUACAACAUGAGCUCUAGGUUCCUCAACAAUCUCAGUCUCCCCAUCCUAGGCCCCCAUCAAAAAGAGGAGGUUCUUCUUGUUCCAUUUCUAAACACCGCACAGGAGUUGAAGCUGCAUUAAUUGCCUCGUUAUUGCUUGAACUUGGCACGCUCCUAUCUACAGGCCUGUUAGAAGAGCUUCCUCUCUCAGCAACAGACUGCAUCAAUUCCCAAGUCAUGUUCUUUAUACCACUGCUCGACUCAGCAUCCUUCAUCAAGGAAGACGAGAUGCUAUUCAUAUCCAUUUCAAAUGCUUAACCUGCUGGCUCUGUUCCCAAUCCAGUCUCAGGUGCAUCAGGCAUAAGCAUGCUAGGAACCAUGGUCUCCUCAUCAGUAAGCACAAUCUCUCCCCCAAUCAUCCUAUCCAUCCACGCCAAUCCAUCAUCCAAAAGAGGCUGUCCUUCUUUACUGUGGACAGCACGCCAACAUUACAAAUGAAGAGAAAGAUCACAUCCACAGAUGGAGAGAAAGCAAUAGGCCAAGAAAAGAGUAGAGUUGACCUUGAGAGCAGUAUGUUCACAGACGGAGACGGUGGAGAAUGAGACUAACAAAAAACCUUUAAGUUGGCGUGCUGUCCACAUUAUAUAUGUAUGGUAUUCAUUAUCGGUUCUUUUAAUUAUACUCAAAUCCUACUCAAACGAUAACUGUCAUGUAGGGAUUUGAUCUUCUACUUAGAUGGUCUAACAGAUUUUUUAUUAAUAAGUAGGACAAGCCUAAACUUAAUCGAAGAUUUGAUUAUUUGCUAGGUCGAUAUCUUAAAACUGAGAUAUCUAGAAAUUCGAUCGUUGAAUUAAAUUUAAAUUUUUUUUUAAGUGAUUAAAAAGACAGUUUUCCUAUAAAAAGCAAUUGUGUAUCUUUUUACAUGAUUUGGAGUCUGGAUGCCCUUGUUUUGGCCAAUUUUGUUAUUUUUCCUAGGGUGUUUCAAAUUUCUUGUAUUAUUAUAGGUUUUGUUUUAUUUUUUUUUUAAUUUUUGGACUUUGAGUUGUCUCUUAGUGAGUUAGAUUAAAAAGGUAAUUCUUCUAGGCACUUAGACUUGGUAGUGUAUCAAGUCUAGGAUAGCGUUUGUUUAACACACAUGUUAAACCCAAUACGUUUAAAUUUAACAGUCAAUUAAACUCAAUGUAAUAUAAAUAAGUAGUGUAGGCCUGAUACACAUGCGAAACCUAAGACCACGUACAAAAUAAUAACUAUCAUCUCUUAACAUGUCUAUGAAAAUGACCAACCUCCCUUUGGCUCUCUAAACAACUGGAAAACACAUUAUCAGCACUGGCGUUGUAGACUGUCGUCUGCCUAGGAUAAAUAUGAAAUGUUUAAGUUGAUGCUGGAAAUCUGAAAUGUUAAUUUCUAUCACCCUCCCGAUCACUCACAUAAAUAGCAUGACGUCAUACCUUUACUAUGAGGUAAAGGUUCCAAUACCAAAAUACAAAACAAUCCCUGGAAAUCAUAAAAUCCUAAUUUCAUCCCCGGAAUAAUAGCAAAUGACUAGAAAUCAUGGAACAUGCUCAACUGUGUUCAACAAACUUUCAGGAUCUACUUCAAUUUUCUUAAGAGAACGGGAAAUAGUGAUCGGGAUCCUCGUUAGCUGCGGGCAAUCACCCACAGUAAUUUCUUCGAGAGAAUCGCAUAGAAGUCUUCCAGAAUAAAUGCUUUUCAAAUUUGGUAAUUUCUUCAAUACCAAAACCCUCAAUUCAUCAAAUCUACGAAUAGGAGAGGAACUUCCCAUUAUCUCCUGCAUGUUGUAACAAUCUUCGACUACAAUCACUUCCAAUCGGAGUGUAGACAACAACCAAUGAGGGAGCAGCACCUUCAUCCUAUGACAUUUAUGUAUCACCAUCUCUCUGAGUUUCAAAAAGGCACCAAUAGCACCUCGCUUUGAAUGUACUUCAAAAACGGUUUCUAAGAUUAUCAAACCAUCAAGGUGUAGAAUCUGAGGCCCUCCAAUUACAACUGAUGGAAAUAAGCUUCUCAUGUUUUGACAACUCACAAAUACUACUUUUGUAAUGAGGCACGGGAACAGAAAAGUUGCAUUGUCAAUCAUGAGGUCAUAAAACCAAGCCUCUUUAAUUAACCCUGACUCUGAUCUUGCAUAAUUUAGAUCCUCGAGUGAAGAGAAACAAGGUCGUCCUACAGUAACCUUGCAUGCAAUUAGUGAACAUCUCUGUCCGCGACGGAAAACUCUGAAAUCGUGUAGAUCACGGAAGUUGCAUUCCAAAGUUUCCAAAUGAUAUAAUGUGGAAACUUCAUCUCCUCUAACUGAGAGAACAACUUCAGAUUUCUGAUGAAGCUUGAGGAACUGUAAUUUUGAGAGUUGGGGUAAAAUACCCGACCGUAAAACACGCACCCCACUUCCAUCAAGAUUAAGAUACCUUAGAUCCUCCAGCCGUUCCAUUCCCUCGGGCAAAUCUUCAAGUCCAGUGUAACUGAGAUCCAACUUCUCCAAUGCCUUAAGCUUUGCUAAUGAUGGUACAUAACUCAGCUUUGCACACCAUCCCAGCAACAAUGCAGUUAGACUCGUCAGAUGACAAAUAGAAUCCGGCAACUUCUCUAUAUCUGUGUCGGAAAGAUCAAGAACCUUGAGUCCGAUGAGGUGCUGGAAAAAAGAUUCCUCAACCAAAUCCAAUUUGUAGUUUCUGCAUAACAAUAAUGUUGAGAGACGGGGGCACAUUGGUGAAAAGUCUGUUGGAAUAUUCUCGAUUCUAUUUUCCAUGAGUGAAGCUCUUAACAGUUCCUCUCUCCACAAUCUUACAUCGGGUAAUUCUGUUAGUUGUGCACCUGCUUGAACCAUAGCCCCCCCACUUUCGUUCAAUAUUUUCCAAGCCAUAUCCCAAAUCAAAUCAUGCAUCUUGACAUAUCUGUAAUCUUCAUCGUCCCUGGAACCUUCUAAUAAGCUGGCAUCUUCAAGUUGAUCAAGCAUGGUAUGGCCCCUAUCAAAUCGUGCAUGCCUUCGCCCCAUUUCUUUGACUAUACCCUCGUCAAUCAAAUACUCUAUCAAGUCCUCUCUCAAGAUGAUCUUGCCUUUUGGAAAUAGUGUGAUAUGUAAGAAGAACUCUUGAAGUGCUGAAUCGUUCAACUGAGCAUAGCUAAAUUUCAAUACUCGAAAUACAUUGGCUUCCAUCUCACCUGGUCCAACUUCUAAUCUUCUCAGUUUUAGCAAUGCAUCUCUCCAACGAUAUUCACCAUCCACUCCCUUCAUGCUUCGAGCCAUUGUCAUGAUUCCAAGGGGCAAACAAGCACACUCCUUCACAAUAGACUCUGCGAUCUCAGGAUAAAGUGUACCACCACGCCCUAAUCUGUAUAUGAACAAAUCCCAAGCCUCGCCCUCAGAAAGAGACUCCACUUUGAUUAUCCUUUGGCAAUCCAUUUUUCGACAUAUCUCCGAUGAUCUUGUUGUGAGAAGCAACUUCCACCCGUCUGUUCUAAGAGGUAUUCCCACUUCGUCAGGAAGAAAAUGACCCCACAAAUUAUCAAGAAUUAAAACACCUUUUAUCACACUCAAUGCUGUCCAUAGCUCCCUGGCUCUAAUCAUCACAUCUUUUUCAUUCUGAAGACAUAAACCAAAAGCAUUGGCAAUGAGAUCCUGCAGUGCGUGAACGCUAAAUUCUCGAGAGUCAGUAAUCCAAUAGACAGGGAAAAAUGUCAGGUUUCUCUUGAAGUUGAUCAAGGAUAUGCGUAGCCAAAGUUGUCUUUCCGACCCCCCCCAUCCCGUAAAUGCCAAUGCAUGAGACCUCAUCAUUCAACAACCAAGAGCAGACAUCCUCCUUAUUUCUUUUAAACGCUUGGCCCACCAUCUUCGUUGUCAGAUCAUAUCUUGUAGUCCUAGGACGCUUAUGUACAGGCCUUUUAGAAGAGCUUCCUCUCACAACAAAAGACUGUUCUUUGUCUAGUCUCGGGUUCAUCUGGCAUAAGAACGACAGGAGCUCUAGGUUCCUCGACAAGCUCAGUCUCCCCCCCAAUCAGAAAACCCUUCCGUCCUCGUUCAUCCGAAAGAGGUUGUUCUUCUUGUUCCAUUUCUAAGCCCCGCAAAGCAGUUGACGCUGCAUUAAUUCCCUCGUUAUUGCUUGAACUUGGCACACUCUUAUCUACAGGCAUUUUAGAACAGCUUCCUCUCUCAGUAACAGCCUGCAUCAACUCCCG